rnacentral:rRNA from 1 species
UACGAAGGGGGCUAGCGUUGCUCGGAAUCACUGGGCGUAAAGGGCGCGUAGGCGGCGUUUUCAGUCGGGGGUGAAAGCCUGUGGCUCAACCACAGAAUGGCCUUCGAUACUGGGACGCUUGGGUAUGGUAGAGGUUGGUGGAACUGCGAGUGUAGAGGUGAAAUUCGUAGUUAUUCGCAAGAACACCGGUGGCGAAGGCGGCCAACUGGACCAUUACUGACGCUGAGGCGCGAAAGCGUGGGGAGCAAACAGG